rnacentral:lncRNA from 1 species
AGGAAAGCAUAGUUCCAUAGCAAAUAUAAGCAACAAUGAACAAAGUUCCAUAGCAUAUAGUCCCAUGACAAAGUUCCAUAGCAUAUAGUCCCAAAACAAAGUUCCAUAGCAUAUAGUUCCACAGCAUAUAGUCCCAUACUUAUAAUACACAAUGACCAAAGAUGGCAUCACUACGUAAGAUUUGGCACUACAACAAAUACCUUCAUGUCCAUGUCGUAGUCCAAAGAGCAUCCAGGUGGCAACCUACAAGAUUGAAUGGUGUCUGUCACAUUUUGGCACAAGAACAAAUAACGUGCUUGAAAUCAUCAAUAUGCCAAAUAGACAAAAGAAAGUACUUCGACACAACAAAAUAAAUAGUGAUCCAUAUUCCAUAGUGAGUUUCCAAAAUAAAUAGCUUCUAGUACAUAUGGAGUUUCUUGAACACUUAUCCAAUUUUGAACAUGCUAAUUUAACACUAGAUCAUGAAGAUCUUCAAGAAUGGUCUCUAAAUCAUGAAAAUAAAUAGCUACUUGUGUCAACUUAUAACAUUGGUUCAAAUCAACACUCUAAAUCAUAAAUAUCUUCGAGUGCUCUCUAAAUCAUGAAAAUAAAUAGCUUCAAGUGGUCUCUAAAUCAUGAGAAUAAAUUGAUCAUGGUUUCAAAUGGUAUAUACUUGUCUCUACUUAUAAGUCUGAUCUUUAAAUGGUUCAAACGGUCUCUACUUACAAGUUUCUAAAUCAUGGAGAUCUUCAAAUGGUCUCUAAAUCAUGAAAAUAAGUAGCUACUUGUCUCUAAAUCAUGAAUAUCUUCAAGUAGUCUCUAAAUCAUGAAAAUAAAUAGCUUCAAGAAUGCAUAUAGUUAAUUAAGAUCAUGGUUGAAAUUGUUCAAAUGGUUUCUAGUUUGAAACGGUUCAAAUGGUCUCUACUUGUCUCUACUUAUAAGUUUGAUCUUCAAGAAUCCAGAUAGCUACUUGUUUCUACGUUGACAAAUUUGAGACCUACGUAAAUGAGAUAUGUACGCACUAACCAUACUCGAUCUCAAACAUUCGGAGAACCACCAAGGUUGUUGUCGCUUGGGCCUCGUGCAUGUGAAGAUCCAUCAGUAUUAGAUCCAUGGCCUGAUUGAGGCAUCUGCAUAGCGGGCAUACCAUUCUGGGUACAAUAAGCCUGCAAAUUAUGUUUGAGUGAAGAUUAAGUACUGGUAGUAGAAGAAUUCAUGUAUGUGUUUGGAAAUUAAGGAACUAACCCCAAACAUUGCAAAGCAUUGACUAGUUUGUGCCAACACCGCCUGCUGCACCACCUGCUGCGUCCUCUCAUCAGCCAGUCACCUCUCCUCUGCCCUCUCCUCCGCCGCCACUCGCCUCUCCUCCGCCAGUCGGGCUUGCAAAAUAUGGCAUGGCAAUCGCAUCUUCAAUCCAACAGUAAGUAAGAAACAAACAUAUAUAUAAGGACUUGUAUAGAAUACCUCCAUCUCAACCAUAGCUGGAGUCGAGCGUUUAUAUGUAGAAGAUUUUGAGAUACCUAACCGAGCUUUGUAUUCAGGGAGAGAGCUACGGGAGGAGCUAGGGAACAUGCCUCCUGCAAUUGCUUCCUUGCCAUGUUUCUUGCCUUCUCCAGAGAUCAUGACCAACGCGUGGUCAAGAGGCUCUGUUGUCACAUCAUACUCGGGCCCUUUCAACUCUUUUGUCGUCCCUUUAAAUUUCUCCAUCCGAUCUUAGGCGGUCUUGCUGGAGUACGCGGACGUUGUGUCAUUCUCAUCGUAAGGCGUGGCUGUUUUGUAUGGUGCCUUAUGGGCCAAAGCAUACGAGACGAAAAGGUUGGCCAAUGGAGCAUUAUGGUGAGAUGCCUGCAACCAAAGCAACAUGAUUAAGAUUUCAUCACAAGGAUUGGCAACAUGUAUGACAAGAAAAAGCUUAUGAAGAACAAAUCGAUAUGGGAAGUAAGAUAUACCCAACGUUCACCGAACUCCAUAAUGUUCAAGUUGCCUUGAUGAUGUGGUGGAUCCAGCAUUGCGGCUCGUCGAUUUCUAUAAUCUUUGUUUUUCGCCCUAUACUCUUUGGAACACCAAUAGUCCACGAUCCGCUCCCAACACUCCCCCUUGGAUUCAUGUUUAGGGUCGCCAGUAUUGUAUCGAGACUUUGCAUUAUGCAAGCUUGGAAUAUUGCCCGCAUAGCAUGAUGUCGUGAAGUUUGUAAUAUCCUCCGCCAAGAAUGCCUCGGCUAUGGAGGCUUCAAUUCUACAUUUAUUUCUACAUUUAGCUCGAAGAGUCUUAUGCAUUCUCUCAAGUCCAUAGCACCAACAAUUCUGCAUAGGGCCACCCAUUCUUGCCUUGGAAGGGAGGUGUAAAAUCAUAUGUUCCAUCGGGUUAAAGAAUCCUGGUGGAAAGAUCUUCUCUAGCUUGCAGAGCAACUCGGGGGCCCGUUCUUCCAUCUCAUCUAUCACAGUAGGAGAUACUUCUUUAGCACAAAGAACACGGAAGAAAUAGGUAAGCUCUGCCAAUACUUCCCAAUCAUCCUCAAGGAUAUAGCCUCGAAUCAUCACCGACAUUAACCACUCAAGCCAUAUGUGCCAAUCAUGACUCUUCAUCCCGUUGAACUUCAAUUUAUCAAGUUUCACUGCCCUCAUAAGGUUCGUUGCAAACCCAUCAGGGGACAACAAAGUUUUGAACCACAUGAGUAUCUCCUUUUGUUCCCUAGUAAGAACAAACCUCGCCUUUGGCGUCCUCCAGUUUUUCUUUCCCUCGGGUUGUUGCAAGUUUUGUUCGGGUCUAUCACAUAGCUUCAUUACAUCAAGUCUAGACUUAGUAUUAUACUUCGUCUUCUCAGCAAUGUUGAACAACGUGCCAAAAAUGGCCUCGGCGAUAUUCUUUUCAGUGUGCAUUACAUCAAUAUUAUGUGGAAACUCGAGUUGGUGGAAGUAGGGGAGAUCCCAUAAGCAUGGCUUGUGAGUCCACGCGUGUUCUUCGUUAUAUCCCAAGAAAUACCCUGGACGUUUGGGAUCAGGCUGGAGAGCAUUUAUUUGAUCACGAAUUUGUUCACCCGUCAUCUCAGGUGGUGCCGAGUGUUCAACUACUUCACCUUUCAUGAAGUUCUUCUUGUCUUGUCUGAAUGGAUGGUCACGACGCAAAUGUUGUCUAUGAAAAUCGAAGCAAGAAUACUUGCGACCAUGCUGCAACCAACGGCACUGCAUGCUUGCCUUGCACCUUGGGCAUGGGAACCUCCCAUGCACAUACCACCCCAUGAAAAGUGAAUGUGCCGGUAAGUCAUGAAGUGAGUACUGGUACCAAACAUGCAUUGUGAAGUUCUUUUUGAUAGCAGCGUCGUAUGUCCGUAUCCCAUUCACCCAAGCUUCUUUCAACUCAUCUAUCAGUGGUUGCAUGUACACACUUAUAUUCUUCCCCGGAUACUUGGGCCCUGGAAUUAUCAACGACAGGAACAUGUGCUUGCGUUGCAUUAGGGCGCCAGGGGGGGAGGUUGAGGGCAACAACAAACACGGGCCAACAACUGUAUGUCUUUGACACCAUACCAAACGGAUUGAACCCAUCGAUUCCGAUGGCAACUCGUGCAUUCUUUGCCUCUUUUACUUUCUCAUGAUGUAUUCGAUCGAAACUCUUCCAUGCUUGGGCACAAGACAGAUGUAUCAACAUCGGUCUCCCAUGAUCAUCUUUGUUGCGUCUUAUCCCAUAUUUGUGCCAUGUCAUCUGUUUGGCUGUAUCUUCGUUCAAUAAAGACGUUGAAUUCUUGGCAAGAUUGGAAAAUAUCAAAGAACAUUUGCGGGGACUUUGCUCUGUUUCUUCGUACCAUCACUGAGGUCUCUCUCGACAUACCUAGAGGCUUUGCACUUGGCGCAAUAAUUGUCAUCGGCAUACUCUUUCGUAAAUAAGACACAUCCAUUUGGACAAGCAUGUAUCUGCUCAUAGGGCAUCUUAAGUGCACGAAGGAUUUUCUUCGCAUAAUACCAGCUUUUAGCCAGUUUCUGACCUUCGGGGAGAGAGCGACCCCAAGAUGUCACCAUCGAAUUAAAGAAAUCUUUGCUCAUGUUGAACUGGGUCUUUAUAGCCAUUGCUUGUGCAAUGGCAUCCAGCUAACAUUGGUUUGUGUGGUCGUGAAGAGGUUGUUCUGAGGAAUUCAACAUUUCUAAGAAGGCCCUCGCAGACUCCUCUGGUUCUUCCUCUGAUCCCUCUUCACGUGCAUCGUUGAAGUCAGCUACAAUGUCAACGAUCUCGGUACCAUUGUUGUCGGUUCGCCGACGCACCACCUCCUCUCUGCUACGUUCAGGCUCGCCAUGAAGGGUCCACCGGGUAUACCCACGCUUAAACCCAUGCUUCUGCAGGUGCCUACACAUCGUCUUCUUCGCCUGUUCUCUGUCGUUGUCACACUUCAAGCAGGGGCACCAACUUUUUCUUUGGCCUCUAGCAAAUGUUGCCUCUACAAAUUCAUUGGUCUUCGUCACCCAUUCAGUGGUCAUGCCAGCCUGACUAGGGUGGCCAGUGUACAUCCACUCACGAUCAUCCAUAUUGGUACUUGCAUAUGACAGUAGGGGCACCAAAUUCAUAUUCAUCAAGAUAUGUAUAUUGUAAUUAAGACUAGAUACACAACUAAUUACCAUUGUUAUAUUAUUUACGCCAUGGCUUUAAUUUUUUACCAUACAAAAGGGAAACAUGCAUUCAUGGAUUGAAUCCUAUCGCUAAUAGGUAAAGAUGGUUCCUAAUCCCACUCGAGUACGUGUAGAUUGGGUUCGUUUCCCGUGCUCUACUCCGGUCCGAGGCAAAAUUUUGGCAGCACCUCCCCGCUGUUCUCCAAAUACACGUCUCGACAACAAGCCGAGAGAAUGUGCACCCGGAGAACAACAAGGUGGCGCAGAUGAAAUUUUGCCGAGGGCCGAAGUAGAGCAUGGAAAACGAAACCCAAUCUACGCGUACUCGGGCUGUCCAUGGAUAACGUGGACAAUUCGAAAGGACGACGGUUAUAAAUAUGCAAAGACAUGCAUAUUUAUAGAUGCCACCCUUUCGAACGGGAUGCGCCUAGGCUACGAGACUUGACAUGAAAAUAAAAUCUAGUAGCAUCAGCAUGACGACCGGAACAAAUCAAAUAGGGGAGGGGGAGGAGAUGACAGUCAAGCUCACCCCUAGACCGUAGAGGCGGUAGUCGAAUGACGAUGGCAAUGGCAACGGGACGGAUAGUGCUCCUGGAGGUGAAGAGAAAAUCCCUGCACAUGAAAAGCACCGGCACAACCAACAUAAGCACUCGCAGAACAAUCUAAUAAAAACAUCGUCAACAUCAUCUUGCAGUUCAACAAAACCUAACCUAAAGAAAAUAAGCAAGAAACUGAGCAUUUAAUUUCCUAACGAGCAUCAAUCAAAAAUGAAAUUUUGCCUUGUAGAACAACCAUAUUAUCCAAACUUGCUUUAUGGAGUAUACAUGCUAGAUCACCAACAUCAUGCUGCCUUGCAAUUCUUCCUCUUCUGUUUAAUUCCUUGACCUGUUUCUGGGGCAUCCUGAAAACGGCUGCCCACUGUGUUAGAUUGUCAAAGUUCGUGUGCACAAUUUGUUCACUUUACUCGCAUUUUCCACAUGUUUUAAUGAUUAACGUUGUUCGGUGACGGGAGCUGCCAUUAUGCCGUGCGAUAUGAUGUCUCAUACUGAUCCUUCCUCCACUAUCUGCCAUAUCUGUAGGCAUGGGAAUGAGUUCGCACAGACAGUCGGAUUCUUUCUUACUACUCACCCAUCUCAGGUACUCCUCCCUGUUCUGAAGCAAAUUCUUCACCUUUGAAGUACUGAAUGAGUGCAUACCAUGUUUUGAGUUUGUGACAGUAUGUUGUGUUGGGACUUGUUCGGUAACAGGAAAAGAUUCAGAUGAACUAUUGUAUUAACCAUUAAAAUUAUUAGAUCAAUGGCUCACAUGGUUUUUUAAUCUAGUUUGGGAAAAUUAAAUAGAAUGCCAGAAUAGGAGCGGUGCUCACCGUGGCGUGGGGCAGAGGGGGUUGAGGACAGAGGGGGAGAUGGUGCCCGGCUUCAGUGGUGACCAGCGGCUGCGGAUGCGUAGACGGGAGCCGGCGGCGGUGCUGCCAACUGCAGCCGUGGUGCUAGGGCAGGGGAGGACUGCCCGGUGGCGGUCGCGCCAUUGGAGGAGGACUGGUGGGGGGCGCAGUGGACAAGGGCCCCGACGGCGGCGGGGUGGAGGCAGGGCCACCUGCGGCAGUGCGGUGGAGGCGGGGACCAGCUGCGGCGGCGCGGUGGAGGGAGGGACGGGCGGCGGAGCCGGGGACGGGUGGUGGCGGCAGAUAACCUAGCGGGGGUCGAGACAGUGAUGCGGUCGGGUGUUGGGGGG